GUACACCAUUCCAACUUAGUAACUGUAAAAAAUAAGGGAUUUGAAUAAAAGAAAACAUACAUGGGAAUAAAGGAUACAAUAUAAAUGAAAACCCAAGAAGUGAAAAAAAAAAAAACACCUUUACUCACAAAUGAAAAAGGGAACAUAUACAACAUUGAUGAAUAAAACCAAUUUCAGCUUAAGGCAGUAAGUGAGAGACUCAGAAGUAUUACACACCUAUGUAACCUCAAGUUCACCAGUUC